rfam:Daphnia pulex DAPPTscaffold_24_Cont1444, whole genome shotgun sequence.
GCAUCGAUGGUUCAGUGGUAGAAUGCUCGCCUGCCAAUCUGUGAGCAGUACGCGGGCGGCCCGGGUUCGAUUCCCGGUCGAUGCA